UACGGGGGGAGCAAGCGUUGUUCGGAUUUACUGGGCGUAAAGGGCGCGCAGGCGGCCACCGCAAGUCGACUGUGAAAUCUCCGGGCUUAACCCGGAAAGGUCAGCCGAUACUGCGGGGCUAGAGUGCAGAAGGGGCAACUGGAAUUCUCGGUGUAGCGGUGAAAUGCGUAGAUAUCGAGAGGAACACCUGCGGCGAAGGCGGGUUGCUGGGCUGACACUGACGCUGAGGCGCGAAAGCUAGGGGAGCGAACGGG
rnacentral:rRNA from 1 species